AAGGUACAUGUUAUAUUUCUAUUUGGUUGGUUGCUGGUUAGUUAUAAUUAAAGUGACUUUCCAAUGCUGUUGGGUUUGGUUUCCUGUGUCUAUGCAUGUAAUUGUAAGUGUGGCUUAUUCUUUCCAUUCCACCCCCACCCCCGGGGUACCUUGUUAUGGUAUGAAAGAAAAAAAAGUGCUGAAACCAUCUCAAAACAAAUAGCCCUCCAAUCCUGUUGCAUACAUGGCAGACAAACCACUAAAAGAUCCAAAAGCAGAAAACCAUAAAGAAGCCAUGAACACUUUCUUAUCCCAGAAUUGUGAAAAAUACUCGAAUUAGUCUCCAGAUAACCUUAUGCAACUGCAAAAAGUCUACCCCUUUUACUUGAGGUCUCUGUAAUCAAUCAACUGAAAAUCACCCAAGUUCUGCAGGCCAGCCUAUUGCUUCCUACCUGGGAAAAUUCUGUUUCAUAGACUUUGUGUAAUUGACUAAUUGUUCAAUUUUAAGCAAUGGCUAUGGAUCUCAGAGUCAGGUGAUGUUGCCUUAAUAGGCCUUACCACGGGUAACGUGCCAAGACUGUUCACUUUAUCAAGUAACAAUAAUUAGAACAAAUAACUUCAACCUCAAAGGAGCACUAUCCUUCUGUGUGUGAUUUGCAAGGGGGGAACUGGUUGAAUUAGCUACAUAAAUAAUAAAAGCACAAACUAUAAAUACUUUGAAAGGAAAAAAAAAAUGAAGAAUCCAAAUUCGGAAUCCUCCUAUCUUUUCGUGGAAUUUAUAUAUGGAAUUAGACAUAUUAAGUGA
rnacentral:misc_RNA from 1 species